UACGUAGGGUGCAAGCGUUAUCCGGAAUUAUUGGGCGUAAAGAGCUCGUAGGCGGUUUGUCGCGUCUGCUGUGAAAACCCGAGGCUCAACCCCAAGCCUGCGGUCGAUACGGGCAGGCUCGAGUUCGGUAGGGGAGACUGGAAUUUACGGUGUAGCGGUGAAAUGCGUAGAUAUCGUAAGGAAGACCAGUGGCGAAGGCGGGUCUCUGGACAGUUCCUGACGCUGAGGCACGAAGGCCAGGGGAGCAAACGGG
rnacentral:rRNA from 1 species